GGUGAAAUUCAUAAAACAAUAUACGAAAGCAAUAACAUCAUCAUCAUCAUGGAAACAUAUAUAUGAACUGUAUAACAUAAUACCUAUCACACUUUUCGUAAUUCAAUCGUUACACAACAUAUUUUCCUAAUUCACCAGCCCACUAGUAUCCAUGGGGAUCCAUAGGGGUCCCGCUACCCGUUAAUCCUUAACACUUGAAAUCAAAUUCCAGGGCCGUCCCC
rnacentral:lncRNA from 1 species